AGGAAGACCUACGAGGACAUUGGUGGAACUGGCCUCCAGGUUAUGUCGACAGUGAACAGUGAAGGAAGGUACAGAAGCAAUAUGUCGGGAGAAUACGUGAAUUUCUUGGGUCGGUAUAGUACAACGGCUCCAUUUGAGGAACAGAAAAGUUAACUCGGCAGGCUUUGAAGAACUAAUCCCAAACGCUCAGUAUUUUAGUAAGCUGUAAAAGAUGUGUGAAAAAUUUCUGUUUUCACAUUCACUCCCUCAAAGGAUUACAUGCAGAACAAAUGAGCAAUGAUCUGAUAAUAAUCUUGAACUGUCCGUGGCUCUGUGCCAGUGUUGGUAGUGCUAAUAAUAUACUAGACUUGCUCCAAGGCUCUCUUUUAUUGUCAUAUAGUGUCGAUCCACUAUAGUGUGCAUUACAUGACGUAGUUCGGAGGGGCGGAGCGAGAAAGAGAGACUUGUCAACUUCGGAAAAUCUCGGUUCAAAACUGAACAGAAAAUGCAAGACUUGCUUUAAUUGUUUUCUGUCAGUGUUUAUAUGUAUUGAUCUAGCACAGUGUAAAUAACAUGAGUUCCAUUAUAGUAAAUAAUACAGAAAGAAAUUGAAGGAAAACAAUUAAAGCAAGUCUUGCAUUUUCGGUUCAGUUUUGAACCAAGAUUUUCCGAAGUUGACAAGUCUCUCUUACUUGCUCCCCCUCUCCGUGCUACGUCAUGUAAUGUACACUAUAGUGGAUCGAUACUAUAUGACAAUGAAAGAGAGACUUGGAGCAAGUCUAAUAAUAUACAGAUAUUUCACAGCACACUCACUAUCAGGACUUUUCAGUGACUGGUUACAUUGUGAAUAGAUAGACAGAACCGGACUGACGUGAAGCAGACCGAG